GGAUUGGUGCGGAGGAGGGGGGGAGGGCCCGGGAACCAGCCGGGGAGUAGAAUCCCGCCUCGCUGGUGUACUCCACGUCAUCUCUGGGCUCUCGGUUCUCUCCCCCAACCCUCCGAGUGGGCCCCUCGCCCCGCCCCCGCGUCCCCAAGGCCUAGCACCGCAUCUGCACUAAAUGUCAGCUCUCUCCCCAUCAUCCGGCUGAGAAAACUGAGGCCCACAUAGAUGCGGCGACUUGCCAGGACACCGCUCUGCCUAUGUGGACGGUGUUACAGGUAUUUUACUACGUGCUGGCAACCAAACCGAAAGUCCAACUUCGUCGCAACCGAGCGGCCUUGGAGGAUGCAGCGCCGUGGGCGACGGCGAGCGAGCGACCGGGGGCGCGCGCCUGGAGCCCGGGGACCCAGAUGAGAACCAGGGAAGCACAGAGAAGUCACCUAACCAGGGGCCGCGCUGCCCGGGCCGAACCCCAGCUCUUGGGGCUCCCCGGGCUCCCCGCCCCCACCCUUGCGUAGGGGCCCUAUUCUCGCUGCGGGGUAGGGACCUGGCAGGCCCCGCCCUGCCCCAGGGGAAGUGAGAAUGAGAGGCCCUCCCUCGCAUCCUCACCACUUCCUCCCGGGAGCCGUGGCUGUGAGAGGGGGCUGGGGAGGAGAGGGGAGGCCUGCAGGGGUGGCAGUUCUGGGGAGCGAGCAGCUCAGGUUCAGAGGGGGGUUGGUGGUCUCUCUGCCGCACGUCAUGCAGGGCCUGGCGUUUAUGUGCCUUAUUUGCCUGGGGCCCCCCAAACCUAUUCCUUCCUCGGGGCCCCUUCCUAAUCUACUGAGUCUCUGCCUGCGCCUUGCCACCCCUGGUAGGCCUGCCACCUUCUCCCUGCUCCCCGUGCUGCCUACCUCACCCCCAUUCAAUCUACUCCACACUGGGGCCCAGAUCCUUUUUCGUGGCACCCACCAAGUGCUGGUCUACAAAGCCCUUCAAGUCUGAGAUCCAGCAGGCCUCUGUACCAGCCUCCCUGUCCUGCAUCUCACAGCUGCCAGCAAGGCCGCCUGGAUUCCAAUCCGCCCUCCAAAGAUGUGGAGCACGUGGAGCCCUACUUUGACUGGAGCCUCAGUUUGUCUAUCUGAAAAAUGGGAACAGACAUCCCUCCUUGAGAUGCAGCUGUGGGGGUUUAUGGAAACUUGUAGAGCUUGGAUUUCCCAUCUUGGCAGCAUGGAUGCAUCUCCACAUUCAUCAAUUCACUUAUUCCUUAAUUACUUCACUAACUCAUCCAUUAUAUUAUUCACUCAUUUGUUCAUUUACUUAUUCACUCACUCACUGAUGCACCCAUCUGCUACUCCCCAAUCCCUAGGCAGCUUGGGAAGGACGUCAGAGGCCACAGGACCAUGGGUAGGGACAGCCCCAGGGUCUUUAAGCAGAAACAACAGCUUCCAUUUAACUGAACCAAUACCCGGAAGCCUCCCCAGAGAAGGCUCAGUUGGGGUACCACCCCCAACCGGCUGCUGUCUGCCACACCACUUCCGUCUGUCCCCCAAGAAAUGGGCCAGUACCUCAAAGAGCCUUGGGAGGAUGCUGGCUGAUAACAGGAAAAGCCCAUAUAUAGUUGAUAUAUAGAGACGAGGCACAUUACUGAGGCUGACCGUAUGCUGGGGCCUCCAGGGACAGGAACACCGAGUGGGUCCCUGUGGCCCCUCCUGUGCUCUUCUUGACUUGGCUUAAUGCUUUCUGAACAUUUGGACAUUCCCAGUCCAGGCCUGGCCCAGAGUGUCCCUGGGAAGGAAAUGCCUGGGUUUCACUCCAAUUUAAUCGUUUUUCAGUUUUUUUUUUUUUGUAUUUAUGGCAAGGGAAACUAGUUAUCCAUUCCUGGUGGUGACAUGGAGGUUCCCUUUUGAAAUAUAUUUAAUGAAGCCAACACAGAAAAGGGGAGCAAACUAAAAGAAAAAUAGUGAUAUCGCUCUGAAGCGUGCUUCUUCAUUUUGGCGGUUGUUUCCUGUCCAUGAUAAAUGAUGGCAGAAAACCCUCACCCAGCACACAGGGCCGGGCACACAGUAGGUGCCCAACAGAAGAGAUGAAUGAGGGUGCUUGAGACUGGCCAAAAGCAAAAAAACAAAACAAUACAAAUACACUUCUGAAAUUAGUGAAGAACUCAACAUCUUCUGCCUCCAACGUCUACCUGUGAAAGGGCGUAAUCUGGGUCUGGAUACACAGCACGUGCACAUUGAAUGUACACUGGAUGAGCUCAGGGGUCCUUCUCAUCCUGCGGGGUGGAGGAGGGUGGUACGCGAAAUUGUUUUCUGCCUGCGCAGGAGCCCUGCCCAACUCACUUUGGACAGUCGAUCAAUCAACAAGCACUGGACUGAGCAGCUCUUCCGGGCCUGCUGGGGGCUGGGGACAGUGCAGCCUCGGGGAGUAAAAGACAGGGCCACCGGUCGUAAAGCGGGCUCUGCCAGGUGUCAAUCUGGUUCCAUCAGUGCUGAAGGGGGCUGACGCCGCGCCAAUUUCCUUCUCUGUAAAUUGGUCCUGUUAGACUGGAAAGGGCGGGUGCCAGCCCAGAGGGAAGGGCCUGGGUCCCUGCCGACGGCCAAACACCUGCACUGGACCGGGGAGGUGGCUGCGGUUCCCGCUCCAGGCUGGGGCGGAAGCAGCGCAGGAGGGGAGGGGCGGGUACUGCCGCCUUUGCCGGUAACCUGAUCCUUAGGAAUGCGCAAGGGCCAGACACGCCCCCAGACCGAGGUCGGCGCCCCUUCCCCGGCCGCCCAGCGCGGUCCUGCCACCCGGGGACAGUCCCCCGCACAAGCCCCAUCCACCCCGGUGGGGUCCUGAGUGCCAGUAGGGGGACCAUCCCUAGCAACGUCACCCCCCAGAGGCUCCCUCUGUCUCAGCCCUUUAUGCUUCCUUCUUAAUUCCUUUUUUCUCUUUGGACUUUCUGUUUUAUCAAGUUGAUUUUAAGUGUCUGGGUUUUCAAAUAAAGACUAAACUUUAAA